AUCCCUGGAUAGCUCAGUUGGUUAGAGUGUGGUGCUGAUAAUGCCAAAGUUGCAGGUUCGAUCCUUGUAUGGGACA
rnacentral:tRNA from 1 species